CCUACGGGAGGCUGCAGUGAGGAAUAUUGGUCAAUGGACGCGAGUCUGAACCAGCCAAGUCGCGUGAAGGAUGACUGCCCUAUGGGUUGUAAACUUCUUUUAUAUGAGAAUAAAAUGUUACACGUGUGGGAUUUUGUAUGUACCAUAUGAAUAAGGAUCGGCUAACUCCGUGCCAGCAGCCGCGGUAAUACGGAGGAUCCGAGCGUUAUCCGGAUUUAUUGGGUUUAAAGGGUGCGUAGGUGGAUUGUUAAGUCAGUUGUGAAAUUUUGCGGCUCAACCGUAAAAUUGCAGUUGAGACUGGCAGUCUAGAGAACAGUAGAGGUAGGCGGAAUUCGUGGUGUAGCGGUGAAAUGCUUAGAUAGCACGAAGAACUCCGAUUGCGAAGGCAGCUCACUGGACUGCAACUGACACUGAGGCACGAAAGUGUGGGUAUCAAACAGGAUUAGAUACCCUGGUAGUC
rnacentral:rRNA from 1 species